rnacentral:rRNA from 1 species
UACGUAGGGUGCAAGCGUUAAUCGGAAUUACUGGGCGUAAAGAGCUCGUAGGUGGUUUGUCGCGUUGUCCGUGAAAACUCACAACUCAAUUGUGGGCGUGCGGGCGAUACGGGCAGACUGGAGUACUGCAGGGGAGACUGGAAUUCCUGGUGUAGCGGUGGAAUGCGCAGAUAUCAGGAGGAACACCGGUGGCGAAGGCGGGUCUCUGGGCAGUAACUGACGCUGAGGAGCGAAAGCGUGGGGAGCGAACAGG